rnacentral:rRNA from 1 species
GACGAACCGUGCGAACGUUAUUCGGAAUCACUGGGCUUAAAGCGCGUGUAGGCGGGGCGGCACGUCGGAUGCUGAAAGCCCCCGGCUCAACCGGGGAAGUGGCACCGAUACGACCGCCCUCGAGGGACGUAGGGGGACCUGGAACUUCCGGUGGAGCGGUGAAAUGCGUUGAGAUCGGAAGGAACGCCCGUGGCGAAAGCGAGGUCCUGGACGUUUUCUGACGCUGAGACGCGAAAGCCAGGGGAGCGAACGGG